rnacentral:misc_RNA from 1 species
UAUAUAUAUGAAAUCAAAAACUUAUUUAAAUCUGGUCUAUAUAAAUUAAUAUUUGUAAUACAAAUAUGUAAAUUUCACCUAUUUUGCUUGAAUUCAAGAUAAAUCCAAUUUAAAUAAACAUUUUGCAUACAUCCACACCCUAUUGGACAUAGAAUACGGUUGUACAGUAUAAAUUCUCCUAUACGACACUCUAUUCCCGUAUUUGGAUAUAGACAAGAAAAAGAAAACGGCUAAUCUACUUUUUUCCAGUCUAUUAUUUGUUUCCCUCCUCCUCUUCCUCUUCCUCCUUGUUUCCGCUGGUAUUGUCCACCAUCAAUCUUUUUUCCUCUCUCUGUUCAGUUAUCUUUGACAUGUAUGAUCUGCUUGGCAUUAGGAACUGUGUGUGUGCAUGUUAAAAAUUCAUGAAUGUAUUCUGAUUUCAAGUUUCGCGGAAUGCAGAAAUGCUUGAAAUGCAAAAGUUGGCCAGAAGCUCAGCAAAACAAGGCCAGGGUUUUGUGCAAACCCAGGUAGCUGUGAUCGUCAAUGCAAGAACUGGGAAAGUGCCUUAAAUGGAGCUUGUCAUCCACGGUUACCAGAAGUUGCAUGUUUCUGUUACUUCAAAUCUUAGUGAAGCAUUAAGCAGUGUUGAUAUGCUUUGAUUACCAAGUUUCACUAUCCAACUCCACGUGAAUGAUGCUACUAUUACCAGUGUGCCUUUUAUCCACUACUGAAUAAUCCAUCAAUGGCUCUUAUGGGUUGCAACUAUGUCUGCAGUGAAUUAAUAUUGUUGACAAUGUCAAUAUUCAACGAUGUUUCUGUUCUUUGUCCUCAAUGCCAAUAAAUUGUUAUUGAAGGUAUCCCCUACUUUGCCUAUGCGUGUUGAGUGAAUCCAUGCAGACAAACCCACCCAAAGAUGGUUGGAUAUAUCUUAGUCUUAACAGAAAAUAGAUACCAGGGGCCAGGAGGGGAAAAGCAUCUUCUGGUAGUCCAGUUCAAAUAUCAUUUUCUAAGAGACACAGGUAAAAGAAAUAAUUGACAGGCUUAUAAUCAAGUAUAAAAGCACAACCAUCUCAACAUCAUCCGACAACAUUAGCAUCCUCUCAUUUGACAGGAUUUCACAUCCUCUUCAAAAAAGCAGAAUCUCAAUGUCAAAAAUAAAAGUUGGAGAGCAGGGAGUCCUAGCUUAACAGGAAUUUCAUAACUUGGCAGUAAGUUCCCAACCCAUUGAAUCAAACAGAGCAAUAACAACAAACCCAUGAGAGGACAAAAUCAUCCUUGUUUAAUAUUCUAUAGAAAAUUCCAUGAUAUAUAUCCUCACAAAAUGAAUUCCCAAGCAUGUUUCGGUUCCUUAUCACCAACAUUGUUCCACAAUUUAAAGGUAUCUGUAGCAUAGCAUGCUAUUCAUAAUCUAUCCUGAACCUGCACCUGCUUUUUACUUCCUAAAAAUUCAAAUAAAUCCCUCAAACAUAUUAAUACGCAGGUAUAAUUCAAUUCAAUUUGUUGUAUUCUGCUACACUUUCGAUCAUUGUACCCAUACAUUAGCAUCAAGAUUCAACAGAUAGUAGCAUUAUACAAGCACCAAAAUCUAAACACAAGUUAGCAGCAAUUUCAACUCCAAACUAUGAAUUUCAUCAAAUAAAAACAUACCCUUUUUUCAUCGAUCUCUCCUAUUUCUUCUUGCCCUUGCCAGCGGAUUUGCGCCUAGAAGGCAACACAAUUUCACCUUUAAGUACAGGGAUUUCCAUAAUCUGCGAAAGCUCACCGAAUUUCUUGCGGAACUUCUCGACCUGGUCGGCGUCGACAACGACAGCCGAUCGGUUUCCAAGAUAGAAUGGGUGGUUACCGGACCAAACGUCCACUACGUACUCUUUCCGGGUCCCACCAGUGGUCAUCACCAGUUCCCCGUUGCAAUAAACCUUCGCAUCCUCAUAGAAUUGAGGGUGUAUGUCCUUCUUCCUACACGUCACCUGCAGGGCGGAAUUUCCCACUGCACUGACCUUCACCUUUCUGAUGGGUACAAGUGGAGGAGAAAGUGGUUUAAUUUGCAGGACUGAGCUUGUCAGAUUAAGCGCCAUGUAUUUGAUGGAAGGGUGAGCGAGAGAUUAGAGAGGAGUGGCGAUGGGGGAGAAGAUGUGUUUGAAGAG